AUUCUGCACAUGCGGGGAAGGAUGAGAAGCUUCGACCAAGGUUCGACUCGAGCGCCAGCGAGAGAGCGUGGCCGCAGGCAACGACCCGAAGGGCGAAGCGCGCAGCGCUGAGUAAUCCUUCCCCCACCACCA
rnacentral:sRNA from 1 species